rfam:Lachnoanaerobaculum sp. ICM7 ctg120007550929, whole genome shotgun sequence.
GGAGGUGUAUCGAAGUGGUCAUAACGAGCCUGACUCGAAAUCAGGUUGUCACUUUUUGUGGCACGAGAGUUCGAAUCUCUUCGCCUCCG